rnacentral:misc_RNA from 1 species
GAAAUGCGAUAAGUAAUGUGAAUUGCAGAAUUCCGUGAAUCAUUAAAUCUUUGAACGCACAUUGCGCUUUGUGGUAUUCCGCAGAGCAUGUCUGUUUGAGAAUCAGUAAAACUCUCACUCGCAAUUCUGUCACCGGGACUGUGAGUGGAUUUGAGACUGUGCUGGCGCAAGCUAGCAAGACUCUAAAUACAAGUUUGGCCUAUUGUAUGCACACCUCGAUGUGAAGCAGACGUUUGAAGGCAUGACCCAAUGAGCCUGUGUUCACGCACGGUUCUUUUGAUUGCUGACAAGAACGUCUAGGAAGCAGCGAGCGAACUACAGCUGGAUUCAAAACCUUACUUCACGAAGUACUCUUGCCGCACAGCAGAGCGCUUUAAGACUUUGAUCUCAAAUCAGACAA